rnacentral:misc_RNA from 1 species
UCCGGUUUGUCACCGGCAGUCCCCCUAGAGUCCCCGGCAUGACCCGCUGGUAACUAAGGGCAAGGGUUGCGCUCGUUGCGGGACUUAACCCAACAUCUCACGACACGAGCUGACGACAGCCAUGCAGCACCUGUGACCGUGCCCCGAAAGGAGACCGACUUUCGUCGGCUGUCACGGCCAUGUCAAACCUGGGUAAGGUUCUUCGCGUUGCAUCGAAUUAAACCACAUGCUCCACCGCUUGUGCGGGCCCCCGUCAAUUCCUUUGAGUUUCAUCCUUGCGGACGUACUCCCCAGGCGGAGCACUUAUCGCGUUGGCUUCGGCACAGGAGACAUGUUUGUCCCCUACACCCAGUGCUCAUCGUUUACGGCGUGGACUAC